rnacentral:rRNA from 1 species
CCUACGGGGGGCAGCAGUGGGGAAUAUUGCACAAUGGGGGAAACCCUGAUGCAGCAACGCCGCGUGAAGGAAGACGGUUUUCGGAUUGUAAACUUCUGUUCUUAGUGAAGAAUAAUGACGGUAGCUAAGGAGCAAGCCACGGCUAACUACGUGCCAGCAGCCGCGGUAAUACGUAGGGGGCAAGCGUUAUCCGGAUUUACUGGGUGUAAAGGGUGCGUAGGUGGCAGGGCAAGUCAGAUGUGAAAGCCCGGGGCCCAACCCCGGUACUGCAUUUGAAACUGUCCGGCUGGAGUGCAGGAGAGGUA